CGUGGGUAACCUGCCCAAGAGACUGGGAUAACACCUGGAAACAGAUGCUAAUACCGGAUAACAACACUAGACGCAUGUCUAAGUUUAAAAGAUGGUUCUGCUAUCACUCUUGGAUGGACCUGCGGUGCAUUAGCUAGUUGGUAAGGUAACGGCUUACCAAGGCAAUGAUGCAUAGCCGAGUUGAGAGACUGAUCGGCCACAUUGGGACUGAGACACGGCCCAAACUCCUACGGGAGGCAGCAG
rnacentral:rRNA from 1 species